AAGCAAUUUGCUCAUAGCCAUAGCUUUCUUGUGAAAGUAGGAUAUUAACCCAGGUGUCUUGGUGCUGGAGAACAGAACUGGCCAGAGUCCAUCCUGUCUCCCACCGGCAUCCCAUUACGAAAUGAACACAGAAAAGGCAGGUCUGCAAUGCCAACAUCUAGUAUCUAUCCCAAAGACCAGGGAGAAAGGAAGGAAAGAUUCUGGUUCUGUCCUCUUCCCCAAGGCAAGGCUGGCUGCCCUACCAACAGAGGCAAAGAGAAGAGUGUGCAAGGCUGGCUGCCCUCCCAACAGAGGCAAAGAGGAGUGUGUGUUGAAAUAUCCAUUGAAUCCCUGAGACAACUGGAUCCUGGCCCAUUGAAUCAUAAACUCAGAAACCAUGCCGAUUACCGACCGAGCUCUCAAUGGAAAAAUGCAGUCGGCGUGAACCACGCACGAACACAGCAGAGAAAGAAGAAAACACACACCACGAGGAACCCUAAUAGGACAAUACAUUAUAAGUCACAGUGCUACGGAGAAACCCAGUAGCCACAUGGAAGCAGAGACCAUGCAUAUGCAUCUACUCCGCAGCUCUGUGAAUGUCAGCAGCUCCCACGGACUGGAGAUCCCGUGAGAUCCCGUGAGAUCUCACCCAUAGCCUCAUGGUACAUCCACUUGGUGUGCUGGGAGAGUCAGGAUGAGGACCUGAGAAGAACAGCAGCUUGAACCUGACUUCAUUUAACAGCCCACUGCCCUCUUGCCAAGAACCCAUCACAGACCUUCCCAGAAGAGAGGGAUGAGCCUCACCUAUGAAUAAGUCCUCAGAAACUCAAAUUUGAUUCUAAUGGAUUGUUUUCUCAGAAAGACUGAGCAUGUCCCCCCACAUCUCUGUCAUUUCCCACAGUAGUAACCUCUGCAGAUGCCACAUAGAAAACAAAACAAAACAAAAAAACAUGAGGUUGGUGGGCAGAUAGGCAGGGUAUAAACAAACAGCCUUGUAACCCAGAAGCUGUGUGAUAUACAGUAAACUUCACAACACUGAAAAGAUGUCCUAUCUGUUAAAAUGGGGUAAUAACAACUACCCGAAUGUUUAGGAAUAGAACUUCAAUAAAUGAUACAUUUUAUAGUACAGCAGACCAUCCUGUAAAGGUUUCAUCCUUCACUGUGGUGAUAAAUAUCCCAAACCACAUUGAAAAGCAUUGCAUCUACAUUUAUCUACACUGUAACUGUACUGUAAAUCAUGGGGGAGGGGAGAAUCAUAAAAACACCACCUGUCACCGUGUCAUUAAAGCAAGUUGGAAGUGAUACUUACAGAAACACAGCAAGAGCACCCCCAGUCACACAGUUCAAUCUCUUAGCAAGCGUUUUCUUUCUAGCCCAGUGGUUCUCAGUUUGGAAUUUUUGGCACUGCCUAGAGAUAGUUUUGUUGUUAAAACUGAGAAAAGAGCCGGGCGUGGUGGCACACGCCUUUAAUCCCAGCACUCAGGAGGCAGAGGCAGG
rnacentral:lncRNA from 1 species